AAGACACUAGUAUAAAAGAAAAUACACUGCUUUGUCAAGGCAGAGCUGCGGGUUAAACCCCCGCGUGUCUUA
rnacentral:tRNA from 1 species